rnacentral:rRNA from 2 species
UUAAGUUAUUAAGGGCGCACGGUGGAUGCCUUGGCACUAGAAGCCGAUGAAGGACGUUACUAACGACGAUAUGCUUUGGGGAGCUGUAAGUAAGCUUUGAUCCAGAGAUUUCCGAAUGGGGAAACCCAGCAUGAGUUAUGUCAUGUUAUCGAUAUGUGAAUACAUAGCAUAUCAGAAGGCACACCCGGAGAACUGAAACAUCUUAGUACCCGGAGGAAGAGAAAGAAAAUUCGAUUCCCUUAGUAGCGGCGAGCGAAACGGGAAGAGCCCAAACCAACAAGCUUGCUUGUUGGGGUUGUAGGACACUCUAUACGGAGUUACAAAGGACGACAUUAGACGAAUCAUCUGGAAAGAUGAAUCAAAGAAGGUAAUAAUCCUGUAGUCGAAAAUGUUGUCUCUCUUGAGUGGAUCCUGAGUACGACGGAGCACGUGAAAUUCCGUCGGAAUCUGGGAGGACCAUCUCCUAAGGCUAAAUACUCUCUAGUGACCGAUAGUGAACCAGUACCGUGAGGGAAAGGUGAAAAGCACCCCGGAAGGGGAGUGAAAUAGAACCUGAAACCGUGUGCUUACAAGUAGUCAGAGCCCGUUAAUGGGUGAUGGCGUGCCUUUUGUAGAAUGAACCGGCGAGUUACGAUUUGAUGCAAGGUUAAGCAGUAAAUGUGGAGCCGUAGCGAAAGCGAGUCUGAAUAGGGCGUUUAGUAUUUGGUCGUAGACCCGAAACCAGGUGAUCUACCCUUGGUCAGGUUGAAGUUCAGGUAACACUGAAUGGAGGACCGAACCGACUUACGUUGAAAAGUGAGCGGAUGAACUGAGGGUAGCGGAGAAAUUCCAAUCGAACCUGGAGAUAGCUGGUUCUCUCCGAAAUAGCUUUAGGGCUAGCCUCAAGUGAUGAUUAUUGGAGGUAGAGCACUGUUUGGACGAGGGGCCCCUCUCGGGUUACCGAAUUCAGACAAACUCCGAAUGCCAAUUAAUUUAACUUGGGAGUCAGAACAUGGGUGAUAAGGUCCGUGUUCGAAAGGGAAACAGCCCAGACCACCAGCUAAGGUCCCAAAAUAUAUGUUAAGUGGAAAAGGAUGUGGCGUUGCCCAGACAACUAGGAUGUUGGCUUAGAAGCAGCCAUCAUUUAAAGAGUGCGUAAUAGCUCACUAGUCGAGUGACACUGCGCCGAAAAUGUACCGGGGCUAAACAUAUUACCGAAGCUGUGGAUUGUCCUUUGGACAAUGGUAGGAGAGCGUUCUAAGGGCGUUGAAGCAUGAUCGUAAGGACAUGUGGAGCGCUUAGAAGUGAGAAUGCCGGUGUGAGUAGCGAAAGACGGGUGAGAAUCCCGUCCACCGAUUGACUAAGGUUUCCAGAGGAAGGCUCGUCCGCUCUGGGUUAGUCGGGUCCUAAGCUGAGGCCGACAGGCGUAGGCGAUGGAUAACAGGUUGAUAUUCCUGUACCACCUAUAAUCGUUUUAAUCGAUGGGGGGACGCAGUAGGAUAGGCGAAGCGUGCGAUUGGAUUGCACGUCUAAGCAGUAAGGCUGAGUAUUAGGCAAAUCCGGUACUCGUUAAGGCUGAGCUGUGAUGGGGAGAAGACAUUGUGUCUUCGAGUCGUUGAUUUCACACUGCCGAGAAAAGCCUCUAGAUAGAAAAUAGGUGCCCGUACCGCAAACCGACACAGGUAGUCAAGAUGAGAAUUCUAAGGUGAGCGAGCGAACUCUCGUUAAGGAACUCGGCAAAAUGACCCCGUAACUUCGGGAGAAGGGGUGCUCUUUAGGGUUAACGCCCAGAAGAGCCGCAGUGAAUAGGCCCAAGCGACUGUUUAUCAAAAACACAGGUCUCUGCUAAACCGUAAGGUGAUGUAUAGGGGCUGACGCCUGCCCGGUGCUGGAAGGUUAAGAGGAGUGGUUAGCUUCUGCGAAGCUACGAAUCGAAGCCCCAGUAAACGGCGGCCGUAACUAUAACGGUCCUAAGGUAGCGAAAUUCCUUGUCGGGUAAGUUCCGACCCGCACGAAAGGCGUAACGAUUUGGGCACUGUCUCAACGAGAGACUCGGUGAAAUCAUAGUACCUGUGAAGAUGCAGGUUACCCGCGACAGGACGGAAAGACCCCGUGGAGCUUUACUGUAGCCUGAUAUUGAAAUUCGGCACAGCUUGUACAGGAUAGGUAGGAGCCUUUGAAACGUGAGCGCUAGCUUACGUGGAGGCGCUGGUGGGAUACUACCCUAGCUGUGUUGGCUUUCUAACCCGCACCACUUAUCGUGGUGGGAGACAGUGUCAGGCGGGCAGUUUGACUGGGGCGGUCGCCUCCUAAAAGGUAACGGAGGCGCUCAAAGGUUCCCUCAGAAUGGUUGGAAAUCAUUCAUAGAGUGUAAAGGCAUAAGGGAGCUUGACUGCGAGACCUACAAGUCGAGCAGGGUCGAAAGACGGACUUAGUGAUCCGGUGGUUCCGCAUGGAAGGGCCAUCGCUCAACGGAUAAAAGCUACCCCGGGGAUAACAGGCUUAUCUCCCCCAAGAGUUCACAUCGACGGGGAGGUUUGGCACCUCGAUGUCGGCUCAUCGCAUCCUGGGGCUGUAGUCGGUCCCAAGGGUUGGGCUGUUCGCCCAUUAAAGCGGUACGCGAGCUGGGUUCAGAACGUCGUGAGACAGUUCGGUCCCUAUCCGUCGUGGGCGUAGGAAAUUUGAGAGGAGCUGUCCUUAGUACGAGAGGACCGGGAUGGACAUACCUCUGGUGUACCAGUUGUCGUGCCAACGGCAUAGCUGGGUAGCUAUGUGUGGACGGGAUAAGUGCUGAAAGCAUCUAAGCAUGAAGCCCCCCUCAAGAUGAGAUUUCCCAACUUCGGUUAUAAGAUCCCUCAAAGAUGAUGAGGUUAAUAG